rnacentral:rRNA from 1 species
ACUCCUACGGGAGGCAGCAGUGGGGAAUAUUGCACAAUGGGCGCAAGCCUGAUGCAGCCAUGCCGCGUGUAUGAAGAAGGCCUUCGGGUUGUAAAGUACUUUCAGCGGGGAGGAAGGGAGUAAAGUUAAUACCUUCGCUCAUUGACGUUACCCGCAGAAGAAGCACCGGCUAACUCCGUGCCAGCAGCCGCGGUAAUACA